rnacentral:rRNA from 1 species
GAUGAACGCUAGCGGCAGGCUUAACACAUGCAAGUCGAGGGGCAGCGCGACGUAGCAAUACGUUGGCGGCGACCGGCGGAAGGGUGCGUAACGCGUGAGCAACUUGCCCGUGACAGGGGGAUAACCGGUGGAAACGCCGCCUAACACCCCGUAACAGCAUCGCCCGCAUGGGCGGUGUUUGAAAUCCGAGGAGGUCACGGAUGGGCUCGCGUGGCAUUAGCCAGUUGGCGGGGUAACGGCCCACCAAAGCGACGAUGCCUAGGGGUUCUGAGAGGAAGGUCCCCCACACUGGAACUGAGACACGGUCCAGACUCCUACGGGAGGCAGCAGUGAGGAAUAUUGGACAAUGGAGGAAACUCUGAUCCAGCCAUGCCGCGUGAAGGAAGUAGGCCCUAUGGGUCGUGAACUUCUUUGUCGCAGAGCAAUAAAGGGCCACGCGUGGUCCGAUGAGAGUAUGCGACGAAUAAGCAUCGGCUAACUCCGUGCCAG